rnacentral:lncRNA from 1 species
UUUUUAUAAUAUUGUAUCGGAAUAUUGUCGGGACGCUAAGACAUUAUUUACCAACGGAUCAGUUCUGCCCGACACUCAUUUUCCCGACAACUCAUUUCCCCGACGUCACUUACCUGACAACUCUUUUGCCAGACACUUUCAGUUGCCCGACAACUCAUUUGCCUGACAAAUACAUAACGUUCAAAUGGACAGACUGGCCGAUUCAGAGACAUUCUCGGAUGUUACCAUUUCCAGUACUCAUAAACUUUACUUUUCUGUGUGUCCUUCGUUGCUUGUGUUGUGCCAGUCCAUACGUGUUGAGCCGCUUCAUCCAUCCUGUCUACCGCUUAACCUGACUAUUUUGUUGUGUCCUGUUGUACUGUGUGUAACUCUCAUGAGUUAUGAGAUCUGUAUUUGUAUACGUCCCCCGUACCGGUCA